rnacentral:lncRNA from 1 species
UGUGUAGGGGUUCUUACUGGGCUGUAAAGCUCACCCCCUUCUUCUUUCUCUUUCAGAGUUGCAGGAUGCAUACAUGGAUGGGUUGGGCGCAGAGAACGAGUAUCAGAGUUAUUAGCUAGCUAGUUAGUUUAUCUUUCUUGAUGAUGAUGAGCAUUUGAAGAUUUUGUAAUUGAAUUAAUUUGAUUAUCUGGACAUGUUCGAUUCGUCUAUCUAAAUAAAUGAAUUAAUUGUGGAUUGUAUUAGAUUUUUGUUCAUCUUAGGCCUUGCAUGAUCUUUAGGGCAUUG